rnacentral:rRNA from 1 species
AUGAAAAUACUGAGUUGGAACUACCGGGGGUUAGGGAAACCCCCGGCAGUUAGAGCGCUCCUGGAGCUUCAGGGGCGCGUAAGACCUGAUGUGAUUUUUCUGUCUGAGUCACAUCUGACUGUUGCUAGGGCAGAGAAAAUGAAGAGAAAGUUGUCCUUUGAUGAGAUGAUAAUGUGGGAAAGUGAUGGCAGAAGUGGUGGUUUGGUACUCUUC